rnacentral:rRNA from 1 species
AUGCACAUCGAGAAAAAUAUGUGUGAAAACCUCAUUGGGACAAUUUUGAACUUAGAGGGGAAGACAAAGGACACACUCAAUGCUAGGAUUGAUCUCCAAGAUUUGAAUAUUAAAGAGGAGUUGAAAUUGAGGAAGGAAGGAAACUUAUAUGUGAUGCCUCGGGCACGGUAUACCUUGUCCAAAGAACAAGUGGUUGCAUUUUGUCAAUUUUUACGGGAGUUAAAGUUUCCGGAUGGAUUUGCUUCCAACAUAUCAAGAUGUACAAGUGCUGAUGGUACCAAGUACAUUUACCUGAAGAGGCAUUGCUUCGAGGUCCCGUACAAUAUGGGUGGAUGUACCCAGUUGAAAGAAGGCUAUAUACUUUAA